UACGAAGGGGGCUAGCGUUGUUCGGAAUCACUGGGCUUAAAGGGCGCGUAGGCGGGCAGUCGAGUCCGGGGUGAAAUCUUUCGGCUCAACCGGAAAAGGGCCUCGGAGACCGGCUGCCUGGAGGGAGGUAGGGGCAUGCGGAACUUCCGGUGGAGCGGUGAAAUGCGUUGAUAUCGGAAGGAACGCCGGUGGCGAAAGCGGCGUGCUGGACCUCUGCUGACGCUGAGGCGCGAAAGCCAGG
rnacentral:rRNA from 1 species